CGGGAUCAGAAAUUAGUGGCUGGCUGAUUUCGAAGAAAUAUGCCCUGAUCCCGCC
rnacentral:tRNA from 2 species